CCUACGGGUGGCUGCAGUGGGGAAUAUUGCACAAUGGGGGAAACCCUGAUGCAGCAACGCCGCGUGAGUGAAGAAGGUUUUCGGAUUGUAAAGCUCUGUUAGCAGGGAAGAGGAAGGACGGGACCGGCAGAGGAAGCCACGGCCAACUACGUGCCAGCAGCCGCGGUAAGACGAUGGGGGCAAGCGUUGUUCGGAAGAACUGGGCGUAAGGGAUGCGGAGGCGGUUAAACAAGGUAUAUGUUAAAUAUAUCGGCUUAACCUGUAGAAAGCAUCUAAAACUGUUUAACUCGCGUGCAGGAGCGGUACGUGGACUUCCUCGUGUCGCGGUGAACUGCGUCGAGCUUCGGACGAACCCCAGUGGCGACGUCGACUUACUGGCCUGUCUCUUCCGCUGCGGC
rnacentral:rRNA from 1 species